rnacentral:lncRNA from 1 species
GCGAGGGACAAGGCCCUGAUGUAACACACAGCCCAGCGAGGGACAAGGCCCUGAUGUAACACACAGCCCAGCGAGGGACAAGGCUCUGAUGUAACACACAGCCCAACGAGGGACAAGGCCCUGAUGUAACACACAGCCCAGCGAGGGACAAGGCCCUGAUGUAACACACAGCCCAGCGAGGGACAAGGCCCUGAUGUAACACACAGCCCAGCGAGGGACAAGGCCCUGAUGUAACACACAGCCCAGCGAGGGACAAGGCCCUGAUGUAACACACAGCCCAGCGAGGGACAAGGCCCUGAUGUAACACACAACUCUCAGCGUCUCAAAAAAAUCUAUUAACUUCUUAAGGAUCUGACACUUAAAAAAUAAAUUAAAAAAUGUCCUAAAAUGACGUAGCCAAAUCUAACUGGCUGUAGCUCUGGACCUGAAGUAAGGAUAUGCAUAUUAUUGAUACCACUUGAAAGGAAAUACUUUGAAGUCUCAAAAAGCUGUCUCCCUUUUCUAUGAAGAGCACCGUGAGUUGUGACACGGGUCGUUGAGAUGGCAACUGAGAUUUAAUAACAGCGCCUGAUAAAAAUACUUUUUACUGUUAGGGAGGACCUGUUGGUCCCUCCAUUAAAGAGACUGUCAAUGUUCAGACUGAACCCUUAACUGACGCCUGAGCUGGGAAAAUAGAUUCAAGUUGUUCAAUCUAGUAGCGCCAUCUAUUGACUACAGAAAGUAUAGCAACAAGUAAUGUCUAUUUUAAUGGUCGUGUCUGUCAGAACCAAAUUCCAUCCUUCCUUUGGUUUGUUACCUAUUGUCUUAACCUUUACCAGUAUGUAUGGAGGGGUAGAAGAUGGUGGCCUGUAUCACAUCCUCACCUAACUGAGGUUUAUUUCAAUCAAUGAAGAGAGGUAAUAUGGUGUCAGUGAAUCAAGUCUUGUCAUUUAGAUAGAGCCUCAGCAAGAGAACAGAGACAUGUUACUGAAGAAAGAGAGUAGUGUUCAUCAGAUGAAAUGUUCGGGGGGGUUUUUCACCAUCUCCUGGCAGAAUUGUGGUCAAAUCAUGUUCUAUGUGCCAUAUACAGAGGCUUUCAUCAUGGGGUCUGUCCAACACAGCGAUAAGAGUUGGAGAGGUUUUAUUAGUGAAGGAUACCGUGGUCAGUCAGAGAGGUUUUAUUAGUGAAGGAUACCGUGGUCAGUUGGAGAGGUUUCAUUAGUGAAGGAUACCGUGGUCAGUUGGAGAGGUUUUAUUAGUGAAGGAUACCGUGGUCAGUUGGAGAGGUUUCAUUAGUGAAGGAUACCGUGGUCAGUCAGAGAGAAUUUCAUUAGUGAAGGAUACCGUGGUCAGUUGGAGAGGUUUUAUUAGUGAAGGAUACCGUGGUCAGUCAGAGAGGUUUUAUUAGUGAAGGAUACCGUGGUCAGUCAGAGAGGUUUUAUUAGUGAAGGAUACCAUGGUCAGUUGGAGAGGUUUUAUUAGUGAAGGAUACCGUGGUCAGUCGGAGAGGUUUUAUUAGUGAAGGAUACCGUGGUCAGUUGGAGAGGUUUUAUUAGUGAAGGAUACCGUGGUCAGUUGGAGAGAUUUUAUUAGUGAAGGAUACCGUGGUCAGUUGGAGAGGUUUUGUUAGUGAAGGAUACCGUGGUCAGUCGGAGAGAUUUUAUUAGUGAAGGAUACCGUGGUCAGUCGGAGAGAUUUUAUUAGUGAAGGAUACCGUGGUCAGUCGGAGAGGUUUCAUUAGUGAAGGAUACCGUGGUCAGUUGGAGAGGUUUUAUUAGUGAAGGAUACCGUGGUCAGUCAGAGAGGUUUUAUUAGUGAAGGAUACCGUGGUCAGUCAGAGAGGUUUCAUUAGUGAAGGAUACCGUGGUCAGUCGGAGAGGUUUUAUUAGUGAAGGAUACCGUGGUCAGUCAGAGAGGUUUCAUUAGUGAAGGAUACCGUGGUCAGUCGGAGAGGUUUCAUUAGUGAAGGAUACCGUGGUCAGUCGGAGAGGUUUUCCUCCCUUGUUUUCUUCUCCUCCUUUCUGCCAUUUUCACACUCAGUCCAUCUCACCACAUCUCUAGCAUGACAGUAGACUCUCCAAAGCACUGCAGUCAAACUGCAAGUCUCAAAACUAAAUGAAAGUAACUUCAGCCAUAACCGAAUGUCAAGCAGUAAUGAUAUCAAUGUUGGAUUUUUUUUUAUCUUGUGUAUGGUCUCAAAUAUUGCAUGUCGAUAAAUUCUAAUGUAUCACACUUGACUUUUAUUUUUUUUGUUCUCUUCUAUAUUCUGAAUUCUGUGUUUUAUUGUUUCACCUUCAUGUAUGACUAGUUCUGUUCUCUGCUUCUGCUUAAACUCACCGGAUGGAAUUACCUAUAGAUUCUGUCUAUACAACAUACUGCUUAUAGAUUCUGUCUAUACAGACCAAGUGAGAGCAACAUACUGCUUAUAGAUUCUGUCUAUACAACAUACUGCUAUAGAUUCUGUCUAUACAACAUACUGCUCAUAGAUUCUGUCUAUACAACAUACUGCUAUAGAUUCUGUCUAUACAACAUACUGCUAUAGAUUCUGUCUAUACAACAUACUGCUAUAGAUUCUGUCUAUACAACAUACUGCUAUAGAUUCUGUCUAUACAACAUACUGCUAUAGAUUCUGUCUAUACAACAUACUGCUAUAGAUUCUGUCUAUACAACAUACUGCUUAUAGAUUCUGUCUAUACAACAUACUGCUAUAGAUUCUGUCUAUACAACAUACUGCUAUAGAUUCUGUCUAUACAACAUACUGCUAUAGAUUCUGUCUAUACAACAUACUGCUAUAGAUUCUGUCUAGAUGUUGGAACAUUACUGUGGGGAGACUUGCUUCCAUUUAAAUUUUCAUUGGGUAGAUAAGUAGAACGUGAGAUUAUUUUAGUUGUUCUUCAGGCGUGUGAUGCUAGGUUCCUUCAGUGAGCAGACCCUUGGGUUCUAGACCGUUCUAGACUAAGCCACCAUGUUGUUUCC